rnacentral:rRNA from 3 species
AUGCAAGUCGAACGAACUCUGGUAAUGAUUGGUGCUUGCAUCAUGAGUUACAUUUGAGUGAGUGGCGAACUGGUGAGUAACACGUGGGAAACCUGCCCAGAAGCGGGGGAUAACACCUGGAAACAGAUGCUAAUACCGCAUAACAACUUGGACCGCAUGGUCCGAGUUUGAAAGAUGGCUUCGGCUAUCACUUUUGGAUGGUCCCGCGGCGUAUUAGCUAGAUGGUGAGGUAACGGCUCACCAUGGCAAUGAUACGUAGCCGACCUGAGAGGGUAAUCGGCCACAUUGGGACUGAGACACGGCCCAAACUCCUACGGGAGGCAGCAGUAGGGAAUCUUCCACAAUGGACGAAAGUCUGAUGGAGCAACGCCGCGUGAGUGAAGAAGGGUUUCGGCUCGUAAAACUCUGUUGUUAAAGAAGAACAUAUCUGAGAGUAACUGUUCAGGUAUUGACGGUAUUUAACCAGAAAGCCACGGCUAACUACGUGCCAGCAGCCGCGGUAAUACGUAGGUGGCAAGCGUUGUCCGGAUUUAUUGGGCGUAAAGCGAGCGCAGGCGGUUUUUUAAGUCUGAUGUGAAAGCCUUCGGCUCAACCGAAGAAGUGCAUCGGAAACUGGGAAACUUGAGUGCAGAAGAGGACAGUGGAACUCCAUGUGUAGCGGUGAAAUGCGUAGAUAUAUGGAAGAACACCAGUGGCGAAGCGGCUGUCUGGUCUGUAACUGACGCUGAGCUCGAAAGUAUGGGUAGCAAACAGAUUAGAUACCCUGGUAGUCCAUACCGUAAACGAUGAUGCUAGUGUUGGAGGGUUUCCGCCCUUCAGUGCUGCAGCUACGCAUAGCAUUCGCUGGGGAGUACG